rnacentral:lncRNA from 1 species
CCACCCCGUCUGGGAAGUGAGGAGCGUCUCUGCUUGGCCACCCAUCGUCUGGGAUAUGAGGAGCCCCUCUGCCUGGCUGCCCAGUGUGGAAAGUGAGGAGCGUCUCUGCCCGGCCGCCAUCCCAUCUAGGAAGCGAGAAGCGCCUCUUCCCCGCCGCCAUCCCAUCUAGGAAGUGAGGAGCGUCUCUGCCCGGCCGCCCAUCGUCUGAGAUGUGGGGAGCACCUCUGCCCCACCGCCCUGUCUGGGAUGUGAGGAGCGCCUCUGCUGGGCCGCAACCCUGUCUGGGAGGUGAGGAGUGUCUCUGCCCGGCCGCUCCGUCUGAGAAGUGAGGAAACCCUCUGCCUGGCAACCGCCCCGUCUGAGAAGUGAGGAGCCCCUCCGUCUGGCAACCACCCCGUCUGGGAAGUGAGGAGCGUCUCCGCCCGGCAGCCACCCCGUCCGGGAGGGAGGUGGGGGGGGUCAGCCCCCCGCCCGGCCAGCCGCCCCGUCCGGGAGCUUACUCUGAGGGAGGUCUGAAUGCCAUAUUGUGAGCGGCCCUGCUGAAAGACCCAUGUGGCAAGGAUCUGAGAUCAUUGGCCAACAGGCUGCAAAGAGUCCUACCAACAGCCAGGCUGGUGUUCUUGGAAGUGGAUCUUCUCCUACUCUCCUACUUGAGAUGACUGCAGCCCCAGCUAACACUUCGAUUGCAGCCUUGUUAAGAUAUCACGGGCCAGACACACCCAGCUAAGUUAUGCCUGAGUUACUAGCCCACAGAAAUGAUAAGAUAAUAAAUAUUUGCUGUUUUAAGCUGC